ensembl:lncRNA
CGCGGCGCGAUCCAGCUGCUUGGCGCACAACCCGACUCACAGGAGGACAGUGGACAGGUCCUUUCCCCUGCCUAAGGUUCUAUCUAAGGAUUUUUAAAUCAAAGUUCUACAACCACAUACCCUGGCCCAAACUCUCAGAGUGAACUUCUGCCUUCUUCUUCACCUGGCUCACUGCACUUACCACAUGGGAUUUUCUGAUGAGAGUCUCUCCUCUUCACUGGAUGGUAACUUGACAGGGCAGGGACUGGAGCUGUCCUUUCAAGAAAUGAAUGAAGAAAAGGGCACUAAUUAGUACCAUCAGCCGUGCUGAAUGAACGACAACUUUGGGGACUCACUUCACUUCUGGGUGUUACCACAUCUGAAUCCUGCUUCCUGCUUGUUGGAAUAAAGGACCUGUUUCCAACUAUAGAAGCUGAAGGGGUCACAUCCUCCUCCUCCCUGUCCCUGACAGCUGAGGCUCCUCAAGAGUGGCUGCACCAACUUAAAUCCCUGUGACGGUGGUUACUUCUUAGAUGUGCCCAUGGGCUUCUCGGGUGAUACUGGUGAGGACCUCAGCACUAAGCAGUCUGACUGAAUGUCUACAGCCUCGCCAGGCAACAAUUUCAACAGAAAAACUGUUUAUAGAUCACCUCUUCUGGGCAAGGCUGAGAGUAUUUUGAAAUAUAAACUGGGUUCCCUACAGUCAAGGAACUGACCACCUAGUUGGGAAGAUAGUGGCAGAAGUGAACGUACAUAACUUCAAGUUGCAGGCGUCAGUGCCGAGCACACAGGAGCACCUCUUAAUGAUGUUUCAGACCCCAAAGCAGUCAUCGAGGGUUGGAACACUGGAGAACACUUGUCAACAAGGCUCAAAUGGUGAAGAAUCUGCCUGUAACGUAGCAGACCCGGGUUCAAUCCCUGGAUUGGGAAGAUCCUCUUGAGAAGGGAAUGAUAAUCCACUCCAGUAUUCUUACCUGGAGAAUUCCAUGGAUAGAGAAGCCUGGCAGGCUGCAGUCUAUGAGAUCGCAGAGUCGGACACAACUGAGUGACUUAACACUACCGCUGCUACUACUGACAAAGACUGCAGGUGCUUCAUAGGGCUGUCAAACUUCUGUGUGCCUGUGCCUGUCUCUGCUUCUGGCUGCAGCAUCUUGAAGCCUCGGCCCACCUGUGUGCUCUGAAGCUGAGGAGCCAUCCAAAGCCUGGAGCGGCUGGCUGUCUUGGGUACUCAUCUUUCUGGUUGGGGUGACACUCUGCCCUUGGAAGCACUUGAGUUCAGGUUCACCACGCAAGCACAGCAGAGUGAGAACACGACAGCACAACACUGGGAGAACACUCAGAGCUUUUGCAUUUGCUGUUCCUCUGCCUGGAAAACCCUUCUACCAAGUCUUCUCAUUGCUGGCCCCAUCUUACUAUUCAGACUUCGGCUGCAAUAUUGCUCCCCUUAGAGAAGCCUCCCCAGAACACCCCACAGCCAUCUGAAGCUGUGAGCCCUAUGGACUGUAACCUGCCAGGCUCCUCUAUCCAUGGGAUUUCCUGGGCAAGAAUACUGGACUGGGUUGCCAUUUCCUCCUGCAGGGGAUCUUCUUGACCUAGGGAUCAAACCUGCGUCUUCUGCAUUCACAGGUGGAUUCUUUACCACUGAGCGGCCAGGGAAGCCCAGUUUCAGCUGCUGAUGCACGGAGUUGGAAGAUUAAGGAAUCAGUUCCUGUUUCUCUGGUUCUGGCCGACCCUAGAAUCAACUCCCUUGAUUGGAAAUAAACAGGAUUUUCCUUUCUGUCCCCAGGAAUGUGACGGAGGAAGGACUCUAGGGGAAAAGGCCUCGUCUGCCAAAGAAUAAUAAUAAUAACAAAGCUGACAGUAGGAAUAAAAUAUCGCCCUCUUCAUCAAGGCGAUAAGGAAGUAUCCAGUUAUGCGUGUUGAGCCUUCUCACUCUCUAUAUACAUAUGUUAGAACUUCAGAAUUUAGCCCAGGUUUGAUUUGAACUUUCUGUCCUGUGGUCGUCUUGAGUGUACUGAACAAAUUGGGCUACAUGUCUCACCUUUGGUUUCAGAAAAUAGGACCCCAAUUAGAGCACUUCGUGUUGACGUAUUACCUUAAAUGCCUGAGCAUGAACCUCUUUCCUGGAGGGUGUGUCUGUGUCAUGAGUGCCCCCAGUGCCUGGCAUGGGGCCUAGCCUUUGGAAACUGGGGCAGAGGGACUGAGAUAUAAAUGGGUGAGGCAGGGAGUCCUCCAGCUCCCUCUCUCUUGGCUGAGGAAUGGGAUGAACCCAGAUGACUGCAUGAACCUUCCCUUCCCCUUGGUGCUCCUGGGGCAGGGACAGGAAGCGCUUUAUGCAGGGAGAAACCCCAAUAAGACUCAGCCUCUCUGUUGAUUUCUGCAAACUCCUUGUGUUCCAAAGGAAUCAUUUGCCCACUUCUGGGCCAGCUGGAUAUGAGUUUGCUCUCUCCCCUCCCAAGGGGAGGUCCAUGUUACCUGAAGAAACUUCCCUUUUUGGUUAAGAAGGUGAUGAGGUAGAAGAAUGUCCCCGCCCUGCUCACUCUUCCAAUCUUCCUUGGUUCAGAGACAGAUAACUUCUUCUCCUUCUCCUCUCCCUCCUGCUCCUUCUCCUUGUUCCUCUGUUCUGAAGAUUAACUGCCCAAAGCUGAGGGGAGUAAGGAGAGGUGAAUCCAAUCUGUUCCUAGAGGAGCCCUCCUCCACUACAUUAAACAAAUUUUUACUCUGUGUAACUUUCAAUAGCUCCCUGUUGUCAUCAAUUUACAUUUCUAACAUUAAAGCCCACUUUAAUAUGAGCUGUCUUGAACUUUGUUCUUUGUGAUUUCCCAAUGUUCUCUCCCCGGAGUCAACUGGUCUUCCCAGUGUGUUCACUUAGUGGAGACGAGUGGU